UCUUAAUCCGACAGCUCAUUGUUGUUCUUGUCUCUGUCUUCAUCUAGUUCUGCCACAGAGAUAGAGAAUAUCAGAAUCCCAGGGUCUCUCAAUCCAAGCCUUGUAAAAAACCCUCUGGGCUGUAAGUAACAGAAACCAAACUCAACCCAACAUAAACAAUAAAGGGAAUUUAUUGGCUCAUGUAACAAAACCAUCCACAGGCAGGGCCAGUCACAGGCAAAGAUGGAUCCUAUGCUUAACAGCAUCAACAAGGAUCUGGUUUCCUUCUGCCUCCUGACUCUCUCUUCUGUUGUCAGCUUCAUGCUGGGAGGGGUCCCCUCCAGGAUUCCCAAGACAGCCCCUGUCAAGACCCAAGGUUACCUACUUCUUCGUUGACAUCUAGCAAGAUGGGGAACCGAGGCCAGAGAGAGAGAAGGCCUGUUCUAAGAUCACAGCAGAGAAGAGCUGGGACCACGACCCACCCCUUUAAUCUGCAGACUUGAUCCUAUUUCCACUCUACUCUAAUUCGACCUUGUUCAGGCCAACUCAGGAAAUAUUAAGUGGUCAUCAAUGUGGGUUCAGAUCAAUCAAUUUCUCCCCAAACCUUAAUGAACUACUUCGGAAGCAUCACAUUUUAAAC
ensembl:lncRNA